GACGAAGGGGGCUAGCGUUGUUCGGAAUUACUGGGCGUAAAGCGAGUGUAGGUGGUUGUCCAAGUUGGAUGUGAAAGCCUUGAGCUCAACUCAAGAAAUGCAUUCAGGACUGGGCGGCUAGAGGACCGGAGAGGAUAGUGGAAUUCCCAGUGUAGUGGUGAAAUACGUAGAGAUUGGGAAGAACACCAACGGCGAAAGCACUCUGCUGGGCCGAAAAACUGACACUGAUAGACGAAAGCUAGGGGAGCAAAUGGG
rnacentral:rRNA from 1 species